AGAGUUUGAUCCUGGCUCAGGAUGAACGCUAGCGACAGGCUUAACACAUGCAAGUCGAGGGGCAGCACAGGUAGCAAUACCGGGUGGCGACCGGCGCACGGGUGAGUAACGCGUAUGCAACUUACCUAUCAGAGGGGGAUAACCCGGCGAAAGUCGGACUAAUACCGCAUGAAGCAGGGGCCCCGCAUGGGGAUAUUUGCUAAAGAUUCAUCGCUGAUAGAUAGGCAUGCGUUCCAUUAGGCAGUUGGCGGGGUAACGGCCCACCAAACCGACGAUGGAUAGGGGUUCUGAGAGGAAGGUCCCCCACAUUGGUACUGAGACACGGACCAAACUCCUACGGGAGGCAGCAGUGAGGAAUAUUGGUCAAUGGGCGUAAGCCUGAACCAGCCAAGUCGCGUGAGGGAUGAAGGUUCUAUGGAUCGUAAACCUCUUUUAUAAGGGAAUAAAGUGUGGGACGUGUCCUGUUUUGUAUGUACCUUAUGAAUAAGGAUCGGCUAACUCCGUGCCAGCAGCCGCGGUAAUACGGAGGAUCCGAGCGUUAUCCGGAUUUAUUGGGUUUAAAGGGUGCGUAGGCGGCCUUUUAAGUCAGCGGUGAAAGUCUGUGGCUCAACCAUAGAAUUGCCGUUGAAACUGGGGGGCUUGAGUAUGUUUGAGGCAGGCGGAAUGCGUGGUGUAGCGGUGAAAUGCUUAGAUAUCACGCAGAACCCCGAUUGCGAAGGCAGCCUGCCAAGCCAUGACUGACGCUGAUGCACGAAAGCGUGGGGAUCAAACAGGAUUAGAUACCCUGGUAGUCCACGCAGUAAACGAUGAUCACUAGCUGUUUGCGAUACACUGUAAGCGGCACAGCGAAAGCGUUAAGUGAUCCACCUGGGGAGUACGCCGGCAACGGUGAAACUCAAAGGAAUUGACGGGGGCCCGCACAAGCGGAGGAACAUGUGGUUUAAUUCGAUGAUACGCGAGGAACCUUACCCGGGCUUAAAUUGCAGAUGAAUUACGGUGAAAGCCGUAAGCCGCAAGGCAUCUGUGAAGGUGCUGCAUGGUUGUCGUCAGCUCGUGCCGUGAGGUGUCGGCUUAAGUGCCAUAACGAGCGCAACCCUUGCCACUAGUUACUAACAGGUAAAGCUGAGGACUCUGGUGGGACUGCCAGCGUAAGCUGCGAGGAAGGCGGGGAUGACGUCAAAUCAGCACGGCCCUUACAUCCGGGGCGACACACGUGUUACAAUGGCGUGGACAAAGGGAAGCCACCUGGCGACAGGGAGCGAAUCCCCAAACCACGUCUCAGUUCGGAUCGGAGUCUGCAACCCGACUCCGUGAAGCUGGAUUCGCUAGUAAUCGCGCAUCAGCCAUGGCGCGGUGAAUACGUUCCCGGGCCUUGUACACACCGCCCGUCAAGCCAUGGGAG
rnacentral:rRNA from 1 species